rnacentral:rRNA from 1 species
CCGGUUGAUCCUGCCGGAGGCUACCGCUAUUGGAGUUCGAUUAAGCCAUGCGAGUCGCGAGUCUUAGGGACUCGGCGUACCGCUCAGUAACACGUGGGUAACCUGCCCUAUGCUGGGGGAUAACCUCGGGAAACUGAGAAUAAUACCCCAUAGUUCACCACGCCUGGAACGGUGGGUGGAUCAAAGCUCCGGCGGCAUAGGAUGGGCCUGCGGCGUAUCAGGUUGUAGGGGGUGUAAUGUACCCUCUAGCCCUCUACGCGUACGGGUGUUGAGAGACAUCGCCCGGAGAUGGAUUCUGAGACACGAAUCCAGACCCUACGGGGUGCAGCAGGCGCGAAAACUUGGCAAUGCGAGAAAUCGUGACCAGGGAACUCCAAGUGCAUCGGGUAAGACCGAUGCUUUUCUUGACUCUUCAAAGGUCUUGGAAUAAGGGGUGGGUAAGGACGGUGCCAGCCGCCGCGGUAAUACCGGCGCCCCAAGUGGUAGUCGCUUUUAUUGGGCCUAAAACGUCCGUAGCCGGUCUGGUACAUUCGUGGGUAAAUCAACCAGCUCAACUGGUUGAAUUCUGCGAGCACGGCCAGACUUGGGACCGGGAGAGGUGUGGGGUACUCUCAGGGUAGGGGUAAAAUCCUGUCAUCCUGAGAGGACCACCUGUUGCGAAGGCGCCACACUAGAACGGAUCCGACGGUCAGGGACGAAGCCUAGGGGCACGAACCGGAUUAGAUACCCGGGUAGUCCUAGGUGUAAACGCUGUGGACUUGAUGUUGGGAGUGCUCCGAGCACCCUCAGUGUCGAAGCGAAGGUGAUAAGUCCACUGCCUGGGGAGUACGGUCGCAAGGCUGAAACUUAAAGGAAUUGGCGGGGGAGCACCACAAGGGGUGAAGCCUGCGGUUCAAUUGGAGUCAACGCC